rfam:Neurospora crassa OR74A unplaced genomic scaffold supercont12.8, whole genome shotgun sequence.
UAUUUGGUUAAUUCUAUUAGUAGUUAUAUACUUAUCUUAAAGAUUAAAUUAUAUAUAUUUAAAUUUAAGUAAUUAAAUUGUAAAAUUACGAAUGGUUUAUUAAAUUAGUUAUAGUUUAUUUAAUAGUACCUUACUAUAUAGAUAACCAUAGUAAUUCUAGAGUUAAUAUAUAUUAAAAACCCCGACUUCGGAAGGAGUAUAUUUAUUAAAUUAAAAAUUAAUACCCUUCGGGGCUAAUUAGUAAUUUAUAAUAAUUUUUCGAAUUAUAUAGCUUUGCGUUGGCGAUAGUUUAUUUAAAUUUUUACCCUAUUAAUUUUCGAUAGUUAGGUUUUAGUUAGUUAUAGUAAUAAUAGGUAAUAGAGGGUUAGGGCUCGACUUUGGAGAAGGAGUUUGAGAAAUAGUUACUAUAUCUAAGGAAGGUAGUAGGCGCGUAAAUUACCUAAUUCCGAUACGGGGAGGUAGUAAUAAUAAAUAUUAAUAUAAGGCUCUUUUGGGUCUUAUAAUUGGAAUAAGUAUAAUUUAAAUCCCUUAACGAGGAAUAAUUGGAGGGUAAGUUUAGUACUAAUAACCGUAGUAAUUCUAAUUCUAAUAGUAUAUAUUAAAAUUGUUAAGGUUAAAAAGUUUAUAAUUGAACCUUAGGUUCGGCCUAUCGGUCUGCCUUACUAUAUACAUUAAUUGGGUUGGGCCUUUUUUCCUAGAGAACUGUAUACCCUUUAUUGGGUAUAUUGGGGAAUUAGGACUUUUAUUAUAAAUAAAUUAAAUUAUUUAAAGAAGGCUUAUAUUCGAAUGUACUAGUAUAGAAUAAUAGAAUAGGAUGUAUAGUUUUAUUUUAUUAGUUUUUAGGACUGCUAUAAUAAUUAAUAGGGAUAGUCGGGGGUAUUAGUAUUUAAUUAUUAGAAGUGAAAUUCUUAGAUUUAUUAAAGAUUAACUACUAUAAAAGUAUUUGCUAAGGAUGUUUUUAUUAAUUAGGAACGAAAGUUAAGGGAUCGAAAACAAUUAAAUAUUAUUAUAAUUUUAAUUAUAAAUUAUACCAAUUAAGGAUUAGACAGUGUUAUUUUUUGACCUAUUCGGUACCUUACAAUAAAUUAAAAUAUUUAGGCUCUUAAGGGAAUAUAGUCGUAAAAUUAAAACUUAAAGAAAUUAAUAGAAGGGUACUACUAGGGGUAGAGCUUGCAGUUUAAUUUGAUUUAAUACGGAGAAAUUCACUAAGUUUAAAUACGAUAAAGAUUAAUAAAUUGAAAAUUCUUUUUUAAUUUCGUAGGUAGUAGUAUAUAGUUGUUCUUAGUUAGUAGAGUGAUUUGUUUAUUUAAUUGUAAUAACGAACGAAACUUUAAUUUAUUAAAUAGCCUAUAUUACUUUGGUAGUACGUUAGUUUCUUAGAAGGAUUAUCGGUUUAAACUAAUAGAAAUUUAAGGUAAUAAUAGGUUUAUAAUACUUUUAGAUAUUUUGGGCCGUACGCGCGCUAUAUUAAUAUAGUUAGCGAAUAUUCCCUUAGCCGGAAGGUCCGGGUAAUCUUAUUAAAUUAUAUUGUAUUAGGGAUAAAGUAUUACAAUUAUUAUUCUUCAAUAAGGAAUUCCUAGUAAGUGUAAAUUAUUAGUUUAUAUUAAUUAUAUCCUUGCCCUUUAUAUAUACUGCCCGUUACUAUUAUUAAUUAAAUAGUUUAGUAAGGCUUUUAAAUUAGCUUAGGGAGGUUAGUAACGAUUAUUUAGGGCCGGAAAGCUAUUUAAACUUAGUUAUUUAAAGGAAGUAAAAGUUGUAAUAAGGUUUCUAUUAGUGAAUUAGCGGAAGGAUUAUUA